CCUACGGGAGGCAGCAGUGGGGAAUAUUGGGCAAUGGGCGCAAGCCUGACCCAGCAACGCCGCGUGAAGGAAGAAGGCUUUCGGGUUGUAAACUUCUUUUCUCAGGGACGAAGCAAGUGACGGUACCUGAGGAAUAAGCCACGGCUAACUACGUGCCAGCAGCCGCGGUAACACGUAGGUGGCAAGCGUUAUCCGGAGUUACUGGGUGUAAAGGGCGUGGAGGCGGGACUGCAAGUCAGGUGUGAAAUCCCCGGGCUCAACCGCGGAAUUGCAUUUGAAACUGGUUUUCUUGAGUACCGGAGAGGUGAUCGGAAUUCCUUGUGUAGCGGUGAAAUGCGUAGAUAUAAGGAAGAACACCAGUGGCGAAGGCGGAUGACUGGACGGCAACUGACGGUGAGGUGCGAAAGCGUGGGGAGCAAACAGGAUUAGAUACCCGGGUAGUC
rnacentral:rRNA from 1 species